rnacentral:rRNA from 1 species
UACAGAGGGUGCAAGCGUUGCUCGGAAUUAUUGGGCGUAAAGGGCAAGUAGGUGGUCUCAUUUGUCUGGGGUGAAAGCCUUGAGCUUAACUCAAGAAGUGCCCCGGAAACGGUGAGACUCGAGUACUGGAGAGGGUCGUGGAAUUCCCGGUGUAGCGGUGAAAUGCGUAGAGAUCGGGAGGAACACCAGAGGCGAAGGCGGCGACCUGGACAGUAACUGACACUCAACUGCGAAA